rnacentral:rRNA from 1 species
GACGAACGCUGGCGGCGUGCUUAACACAUGCAAGUCGAACGGAAAGGCCCUGCUUUUGUGGGGUGCUCGAGUGGCGAACGGGUGAGUAACACGUGAGUAACCUGCCCUUGACUUUGGGAUAACUUCAGGAAAUUGGGGCUAAUACCGGAUAGGAGCUCCUGCUGCAUGGUGGGGGUUGGAAAGUUUCGGCGGUUGGGGAUGGACUCGCGGCUUAUCAGCUUGUUGGUGGGGUAGUGGCUUACCAAGGCUUUGACGGGUAGCCGGCCUGUGAGGGUGACCGGCCACAUUGGGACUGAGAUACGGCCCAGACUCCUACGGGAGGCAGCAGUGGGGAAUAUUGCACAAUGGGCGGAAGCCUGAUGCAGCAACGCCGCGUGCGGGAUGACGGCCUUCGGGUUGUAAACCGCUUUCGCCUGUGACGAAGCGUGAGUGACGGUAAUGGGUAAAGAAGCACCGGCUAACUACGUG